rnacentral:rRNA from 1 species
GACGAACGCUGGCGGCAUGCUUAACACAUGCAAGUCGAACGAAGUGGCGAACGGGUGAGUAAUACGUGAGUAACCUGCCCUCCUUUUUGGGAUAAGCCUUGGAAAAGGGGUCUAAUACCGACUAAAGGGGGAUGGGCUAGCGGCCUAUAAGCUGGUUGGGGGGGUGAUGGCCUACCAAGGCGGGGACGGGUAGCCGGCCUGGGAGGGGGACCGGUGACAUUGUGCAUGGGACACGGCCCAGACGGCUACGGGAGGCGGCAGGGGGGGAGAUUGCACAAUGGCCGAAAGCCUGAGGCAGCUUCGCCGCGUGGGGGAUGAAGGCUUUCGGGUUGUAAACCUCUGUCGCGAUCGACCGGGUAGGUGGAGAAGAAGCGCCGGCUAACUACGUGCCAGCAGCCGCGGUAAUAC